rnacentral:rRNA from 1 species
AAAAGAACCUGAAACCGUGUACGUACAAGCAGUGGGAGCCCCACCACCAAAGCAUUCUCUGGUGUUGAAGGCCCUGCAAAGCAGCAUCGCGGUGGCGGAGCGUCGUUUGCGACGCCCAACACACAAAACAAGCGGUGAGUGCUUUGGGGUGGGGUGACUGCGUACCUUUUGUAUAAUGGGUCAGCGACUUAUAUUCUGUAGCAAGGUUAACCGUAUAGGGGAGCCGUAGGGAAACCGAGUCUUAACCGGGCGUUAAGUUGCAGGGUAUAGACCCGAAACCCGGUGAUCUAGCCAUGGGCAGGUUGAAGGUUGGGUAACACUAACUGGAGGACCGAACCGACUAAUGUUGAAAAAUUAGCGGAUGACCUGUGGCUGGGGGUGAAAGGCCAAUCAAACCGGGAGAUAGCUGGUUCUCCCCGAAAGCUAUUUAGGUAGCGCCUCGUGAAUUCAUCUCCGGGGGUAGAGCACUGUUUCGGCUAGGGGGCCAUCCCGGCUUACCAACCCGAUGCAAACUGCGAAUACCGGAGAAUGUUAUCACGGGAGACACACGGCGGGUGCUAACGUCCGUCGUGAAGAGGGAAACAACCCAGACCGCCAGCUAAGGUCCCAAAGUCAUGGUUAAGUGGGAAACGAUGUGGGAAGGCCCAGACAGCCAGGAUGUUGGCUUAGAAGCAGCCAUCAUUUAAAGAAAGCGUAAUAGCUCACUGGUCGAGUCGGCCUGCGCGGAAGAUGUAACGGGGCUAAACCAUGCACCGAAGCUGCGGCAGCGACGCUGAUGCGUUGUUGGGUAGGGGAGCGUUCUGUAAGCCUGUGAAGGUGGCCUGUGAGGGUUGCUGGAGGUAUCAGAAGUGCGAAUGCUGACAUAAGUAACGAUAAAGCGGGUGAAAAGCCCGCUCGCCGGAAGACCAAGGGUUCCUGUCCAACGUUAAUCGGGGCAGGGUGAGUCGACCCCUAAGGCGAGGCCGAAAGGCGUAGUCGAUGGGAAACGGGUUAAUAUUCCCGUACUUGGUGUUACUGCGAAGGGGGGACGGAGAAGGCUAUGUUGGCCGGGCGACGGUUGUCCCGGUUUAAGCGUGUAGGUGUGUGUUCCAGGUAAAUCCGGUUCACUUUAACACUGAGGCGUGAUGACGAGGCACUACGGUGCUGAAGCAACAAAUGCCCUGCUUCCAGGAAAAGCCUCUAAGCAUCAGGUAACAUCAAAUCGUACCCCAAACCGACACAGGUGGUCAGGUAGAGAAUACCAAGGCGCUUGAGAGAACUCGGGUGAAGGAACUAGGCAAAAUGGUGCCGUAACUUCGGGAGAAGGCACGCUGACACGUAGGUGAAGUGAUUUACUCAUGGAGCUGAAGUCAGUCGAAGAUACCAGCUGGCUGCAACUGUUUAUUAAAAACACAGCACUGUGCAAACACGAAAGUGGACGUAUACGGUGUGACGCCUGCCCGGUGCCGGAAGGUUAAUUGAUGGGGUCAGCGCAAGCGAAGCUCCUGAUCGAAGCCCCGGUAAACGGCGGCCGUAACUAUAACGGUCCUAAGGUAGCGAAAUUCCUUGUCGGGUAAGUUCCGACCUGCACGAAUGGCGUAAUGAUGGCCAGGCUGUCUCCACCCGAGACUCAGUGAAAUUGAACUCGCUGUGAAGAUGCAGUGUACCCGCGGCAAGACGGAAAGACCCCGUGAACCUUUACUAUAGCUUGACACUGAACAUUGAGCCUUGAUGUGUAGGAUAGGUGGGAGGCUUUGAAGCGUGGACGCCAGUCUGCAUGGAGCCGGCCUUGAAAUACCACCCUUUAAUGUUUGAUGUUCUAACGUGGACCCGUGAUCCGGGUUGCGGACAGUGUCUGGUGGGUAGUUUGACUGGGGCGGUCUCCUCCUAAAGAGUAACGGAGGAGCACGAAGGUUGGCUAAUCCUGGUCGGACAUCAGGAGGUUAGUGCAAUGGCAUAAGCCAGCUUGACUGCGAGCGUGACGGCGCGAGCAGGUGCGAAAGCAGGUCAUAGUGAUCCGGUGGUUCUGAAUGGAAGGGCCAUCGCUCAACGGAUAAAAGGUACUCCGGGGAUAACAGGCUGAUACCGCCCAAGAGUUCAUAUCGACGGCGGUGUUUGGCACCUCGAUGUCGGCUCAUCACAUCCUGGGGCUGAAGUAGGUCCCAAGGGUAUGGCUGUUCGCCAUUUAAAGUGGUACGCGAGCUGGGUUUAGAACGUCGUGAGACAGUUCGGUCCCUAUCUGCCGUGGGCGCUGGAGAACUGAGGGGGGCUGCUCCUAGUACGAGAGGACCGGAGUGGACGCAUCACUGGUGUUCGGGUUGUCAUGCCAAUGGCACUGCCCGGUAGCUAAAUGCGGAAGAGAUAAGUGCUGAAAGCAUCUAAGCACGAAACUUGCCCCGAGAUGAGUUCUCCCUGAGACUUAGAGUCUCCUGAAGGAACGUUGAAGACGACGACGUUGAUAGGCCGGGUGUGUAAGCGCAGCGAUGCGUUGAGCUAACCGGUACUAAUGAACCGUGAGGCUUAACCUU